rnacentral:lncRNA from 1 species
UCUUGCUGCAAAAGAAGGCCAUUGUACUUCCUGACCCCGAAAGCAAGUGCCAACUUUGACUCAAUAAACAAUGACCUUCAGCUUCGUAUGAAGGAAGCAUCCAGUACAUAAUGCACAGAGUGGUGCCCCUUCAAAGAAUGAAAC